GGGAACUGAAACAUCUCAGUACCCGGAGGAAAGGACAUCAACCGAGACUCCCUUAGUAGUGGCGAGCGAACAGGGAUUAGGCCAGUGCUUCUGUGACAUAAAGUCGAACGGCUUGGAAAGGCCGGCCAUAGCGGGUGACAGCCCCGUAGACGUCAAACAGCAGAAGACUCGAGUAGGGCGGGACACGUGAAAUCCUGUCUGAAAUUGGG
rnacentral:rRNA from 1 species